CCGGGCCCGGGGAGGCACGCAGCGCUGCGGCCCGGGGGGUCUGCCGCAGGAAUCCCGCAGGAAUCCCGUGCGGAACGGGCAGCUGCACACCGUGGUGACAGCAAAAAGCACGGAGGGGGAAGGCUGAGAUUGCAAAAAGGAAAGUGAACCCCAGAUGAGAUGCCAUUGGUCAUGAAGGGAACACAUCACCCUGAUGUGCUCUGCCCCCAUCCAGCUGGGGAGGGCCUGUCCUAAAAGGAUGUGGUUAGAAGGCUGAGCAAUGGCAGCAGUGAGAAGAAAAGCCUAAAAGGAAACUGAGGAGAAGAAAGAGAGAGUGCUUUUGACAGUGGAUGCCGUUGGUAACAAGAAGGGAGGGAUGGAAUUAAAUGGAGUCAGCAAACCUGGAAGAGGCCAAACUUCCUUAACAUCAGUUUCUCA